rnacentral:rRNA from 1 species
AUAACAGAUUAAGUUAUUAAGGGCGCACGGUGGAUGCCUUGGCACUAGAAGCCGAAGAAGGACGUUACUAACGACGAUAUGCUUUGGGGAGCUGUAAGUAAGC